rnacentral:lncRNA from 1 species
UUUUUUUUUUUUUUUUUUUUUUUGGUUUUUAUUUUAUUUUAUUUAGGUUAAUUACCACUUCCUUCCAGCCCCAAGAUUUCUCAUUGUGCUGUACUGACUAGCCUGGAAUUUAGUAGGUUGACCAGGCUAGCUAUCCAUCCACCUACCUCAAGGACUACUAGAAUUGAAGACAUGUGCCAGUAUACCUGGCCUAAUCCCUUCCAUGUUAGUGUGUGUGUGUGUUUGUCUACCUCUGUCAGGGUCUUAAAUGUUUCUUCUUAGUACCACACCACAAUGCUGCUCUAGGUUUGUUUUGUUUUGUUUUUAAAGUUUAUGAAUGCUUUCUUGCAGGCAUGUCUGUGUACCACCUUUGUGCCUAGUACCCACUGAGGCCAGAAUAUGGCCUGAGACCAGAAUUACAGACAUUUGUGAGCUGCAUUGUGACUGUUGAGAAUCAAAUCUGGGGCCUUUGAAAAAACAGCCAGUGAUCUUAACCACCAAGCCAUCUUUGCAACACCAGGAAUGUUCUUUAUUGCAUUUAUUUUUUGUUUGUCUAUUUUUUUAUGCGUGCCAUGGCAAACAUGGAGGUCAGAGGACAGCUCUUGGAAGUUGGUGUUUUCUUUCCAUGAGGGUCCUAGGAAUUAAAUUUAGUAGAGCCAUCUUGCUAGGUCAACUAAAUAGUUGUUUUGUAUUCAUUAAGAUUGAUCAAAUUCAGGGGCUGGAGAGGCAGCUCAGCGGUUAAGAGUAUUGACUGCCCUUCCACAUAGUGGCUUACAAACAUCCGUAAUGAGAUCGGAUGCUCUCUUCUGGUGUGUCUGAAGACAGCUAUAGUGUACUUACAUAUAAUAAAUAAAUAAAUCUUUAAAAAGAUUGAUUAAAUUCUGUAGCUAGUGAGAGUUUUAUAGAUAACUGUACUGGCUCAUAUUUUGUCACCUUGACAAAUGCUAGAGGGGACACAAGUCAUCUUUGAAGAAGGGAUUUCAAUUGAGAGCUUGCCUGAAUCAUGUUGGUUUGUAGGCAAGUCUGUGGGAGCAUUUUCUUGACAUGAUUGUUGUGGGAGGGCCCAGCCCACUAUGUGUGGUAUCACCACUUGGCAGAUGAUCCUGAGUUAUAUGAAAAGCUAGAUGAGCAAGCCACGGGGAGCAAAACAGUGAGUAGCAUACCUACAAGGUCUCUGCUUCAGUUCCUGCUUUGACUUCCCUCAAAGAUGGACUGUAACUUGGAAAUGUAAGCCAAAAAACCCACUUUCUCCCUUAAAUUUAUCUUGUCAGUGUUUUGUCAUAGCAACAGAAAACAAAGUAGAACAAUAACUUAGCAAAACAAAUCUUGAUGAUGCUUUUGAAUAGUUUGUAGAAAUUAAGCUUUUAAAGAGAAUAUAGAGACUUAGCAGUAGACUUAGUUGGGCUCAGAUUUAUAUUAUAUCUGUGUGGAGAGAUGGUUCAGUAGUUAAAGAGAACUUGCUGAUCAAAGAAAACACAUGGUGGAACUUGUGGCUCUAGCUGCAUAUGUAGCAGAGGAUGGCCUACUUGGUCAUCAAUGGGAGGAGAUGCUCUAGGUCCUGUGAAGGUUCUAUGCCCCAGUAUAGGGGAAUGCCAGGACUGGGAAUGGGAGUGGGUGGGUUGGGAAGCAGGGGGAGGGGAUAGGGGAUUUUCAGAGGGGAAACUAGGAAAGGGUAUAACAUUGAAUGU